CACCACAAUAAGUGUACACGUUCAGACAUAUGGUUCAUGGAUGCUGCCUGCCAGACAGACUGCAUUGCCACCUGGACUACAGCCACACCAGUUAUCCUUGAAGACAUUGCUGCCCCAGCCAUGGAGUAAAUAUGGCUCUCCUCUACAAUGAAAAUUCAAACGAACAACCGGCCCUAUGACUACCUGCAGGAGGUGUACCUUUCUUCAAAAUUGCCAAGACCAAGAAGGGAUAGUGCAUCAACCAUCAAAAGAUUAAGCCAACCUUUUGGUAAGUUUUCAAAAGAAUGCAUUCAAUUCAACUCAAUUUGACAUAACAUGUUUUAAUGGCGUUACUUCAAUAGCACAUUAAGUCUACAAAAUAGGAGAAUUAGAAUUCUAAACAAUAUGUGUGCUUUUUUCUGUAUGUUUUGUGUGAAAAGGUCAUGUUCAUGUUCAUGGAAGUCAUUCUGGACAAGGUCUUUGGGAACCCUGCAAAGCAGACUGAGGCAAUGUUGGCGUUGGUGCAGUUCACAGACGAGCCAGCCAGAUAAAGAGGUCACAGCAAGCCUUGUGUUGAGGUUCAUGCGUACUGCAGUCUGAAUCCCCGGUGUAGUGUCCUUCGUCAUCAAGGAACUCAGCAUGGAUAUGCACGACAACACGGGAAUCACUGUUGGACUUGAAGCAGCUGGAAAAAAAGAAAAGACAGUUGCAGAGAUUGUUAUUGCCGUCAUUCUUUCACUACAAUAUUUGUCUUCAAUAAAUAUGUUCCUAUGGAAUACUCUUGAUGCUGUUGUAAAUAAAUGUUCACACUGCCUUUA